rnacentral:lncRNA from 1 species
GUCUGUUCCAGCCUCUGAUUGUGUAUCGGGGCAAGAUUUGCACAGUACAGUGUAUGAAGUUAUUCAGCACAUCCCUGCCCAGCAGCAAGACCAUCCAGAGUGAACUUUCAUGGGCUAAACAGUACAUUCGAGUGAAAUUCUGAAGAAACAUUUUAAGGAAAAACAGUGGAAAAGUAUAUUAAUCUGGAAUCAGUGAAGAAACCAAGACCAACACCUCUUACUCAUUAUUCCUUUACAUGCAGAAUAGAGGCAUUUAUGCAAAUUGAACUGCAGGUUUUUCAGCAUAUACACAAUGUCUUGUGCAACAGAAAAACAUGUUGGGGAAAUAUUCCUCAGUGGAGAGUCGUUCUCAUGCUGACGGGGAGAACGAAAGUGACAGGGGUUUCCUCAUAAGUUUUGUAUGAAAUAUCUCUACAAACCUCAAUUAGUUCUACUCUACACUUUCACUAUCAUCAACACUGAGACUAUCCUGUCUCACCUACAAAUGUGGAAACUUUACAUUGUUCGAUUUUUCAGCAGACUUUGUUUUAUUAAAUUUUUAUUAGUGUUAAGAAUGCUAAAUUUAUGUUUCAAUUUUAUUUCCAAAUUUCUAUCUUGUUAUUUGUACAACAAAGUAAUAAGGAUGGUUGUCACAAAAACAAAACUAUGCCUUCUCUUUUUUUUCAAUCACCAGUAGUAUUUUUGAGAAGACUUGUGAACACUUAAGGAAAUGACUAUUAAAGUCUUAUUUUUAUUUUUUUCAAGGAAAGAUGGAUUCAAAUAAAUUAUUCUGUUUUUGCUUUUAUGUGGUCUUAAUUCUUUGUCUUGUAGAGUAAAAAUAUUACAU